rnacentral:tRNA from 1 species
UGACCCCAACCCGAUUUGAACGGAUAACCUUUCGAUCUGGAGUCGAACGCGCUACCGUUGCGCCAUAGGGCC